CCAAUAGCGUAUAUUAAAGUUGUUGCAGUUAAAAAGCUCGUAGUUGAAUUUCGGGUUCAGUAUGUUGGUCGUGCUUCGGUACGUACUGUCAUUACUGGUUUCUACCUUCUGAAGAACCUUGAUGUCAUUAAUUUGGUGUCUUGGGGAAUCAGGACUGUUACUUUGAAAAAAUUAGAGUGUUUAAAGCAGGCUCACGCUUGAAUACAUUAGCAUGGAAUAACCGAAUAGGACGUUUGAUUCUAUUUUGUUGGUUUCUAGGAUCGACGUAAUGAUUAAUAGGGAUAGUUGGGGGCAUUAGUAUUCAAUUGUCAGAGGUGAAAUUCUUGGAUUUAUUGAAGACUAACUACUGCGAAAGCAUUUGCCAAGGAUGUUUUCAUUAAUCAAGAACGAAAGUUAGGGGAUCGAAGACGAUCAGAUACCGUCGUAGUCUUAACCAUAAACUAUGCCGACUAGGGAUCGGAUGAUGUUAAUUUUUUAAUGACUCAUUCGGCGCCUUACG
rnacentral:rRNA from 1 species